AGGCAAAUGGUGAGCCACCAGUUUUCGCUGGUCCUAGUGGGUUCGAUUCCCACC
rnacentral:tRNA from 1 species